rnacentral:rRNA from 1 species
UUGACCUCGGAUCAGUAGGAAUACCCGCUGAACUUAGCUAUCAU